UCCGAAUGUCGGGUACCAUUGGUAGAUGAUCACUUUGAUUAGUACAGAAAUUGAUUCCUGUGCUACUGGCUUAGAUUCGAACCUACGGGGUCACACACAUUAGAGGUUCCUAUCUGAUCUGAUGGCUGGUGAAGAGUCUCACUGGACUGAAACUCUUCGACCAAGAGUCCUAAUGCUCGAAGACUCUGUGAUUGAGAAUCAAGAUUCUCUGAUCAUGAGUUCUACACAUUUUGGGUACCGGGGUCAAGAGUCCCACUGG
rnacentral:lncRNA from 1 species